GACAGAGGGGGCAAGCGUUGCUCGGAAUUACUGGGCGUAAAGGGCGCGUAGGCGGGAUGGCAAGUCGGUCGUGAAAUCCCUCGGCUCAACCGAGGAACGUCGAUCGAUACUGCUGUUCUUGAGGAUUGCAGAGGAGACUGGAAUUCCCGGUGUAGCGGUGAAAUGUGUAGAGAUCGGGAGGAACACCGGUGGCGAAGGCGGGGUCU
rnacentral:rRNA from 1 species